rnacentral:rRNA from 1 species
AUUGAACGCUAGCGGGAUGCUUUACACAUGCAAGUCGAACGAGUGGCGGACGGGUGAGUAAUAGAACGGAAUGUGCCAAGUAGCGGGGGAUAACUACUCGCAAUAGUGGCUAAUACCGAAUAAUAUUGGAGCGGCCGGUAUCGGAUUAGCUAGUUGGUGGGGUAAAGGCUAACCAGGGCAACGAUCCGUAGCUGGUUUGAGAGGACGACCAGCCACACUGGAACUGAGACACGGCCCAGACUCCUACGGGAGGAAGAAGUGGGGAAUUUGGGACAAUGGGGGAAACCCUGAUCCAGCCAUCCCGCGUGUAUGAGAAGGCCUGCGGGUUGUAAAGUAGGUUUGGCAGAGAAGCGGUAUCUGCAGAAUAAGCACCGGCUAACUACGUGCCAGCAGCCGCGGUAAUAC